rnacentral:rRNA from 1 species
UGAACGCUGGCGGUAUGCCUAACACAUGCAAGUCGUACGAGAGUUUUUAACUCUAGUGGCGGACGGGUGAGUAACACGUGAGAAUUUACCUUUAGGAGGGGGAUAACAAUUGGAAACGAUUGCUAAUACCCCAUAUGCUUUUGAGUGAAAUGGAUUUAUAUUUAUCCGACUAAAGAGAAGCUUGCGGCUGAUUAGCUUGUUGGUGAGGUAAUGGCUCACCAAGGCGACGAUCAGUAUCUGGUUUGAGAGGACGAUCAGACACACUGGAACUGAGACACGGUCCAGACUCCUACGGGAGGCAGCAGUAGGGAAUUUUCCGCAAUGGGCGAAAGCCUGACGGAGCAAUACCGCGUGAGGGAUGACGGCCUAUGGGUUGUAAACCUCUUUUUUCAGGGAGGAAUCAAUGACGUGUACCUGAAGAAUAAGCAUCGGCUAACUCC